UCUCGACGGCCACACUGAUCGGGCUAAACACCGCAUGAAGCUAGCCUGACACUAACAACCUAACCACUAGCUAGUUUAUCCAUCUCAGAUAGCUAGGUACGUGACUAAUAAACGUGCUAAAUAAAUUACUAACAAGAUUAGUUCCAACAACGUCUUCCUCUUCGUCGCCGGCGAUCAUCUCCGACGCCUCAACCUCGUCGUCGACUACCCCAGGCAUUUCCUUCUUCCCGGAUAGGAUCACGAAGUGGUGUUGUGAGAUACGACGAGUUCUCCGACAAGUUCUUCUGCAGCUUUCCACAGGCGAGCCCACCCCUUCACCUAUUUUACUUUUACAUGCUCUUUUGAUCUAUUGCUAUCCUUAUGUUGCGAUUCUGUUGUGUCACGUGUCCUAUCCACCUGUUACCUAUAUGUCCGAGAUACACCUCCUCGCCCUACCUAUUGUUUGUUGUUUGCCAGCUUUGCGAGUCGUAGGCGUGUUUAGGUUCUGUUGUUUAUCUCGAUCUGUUAUCGGGAUAUGUUGGGUUGUUGGGAGGUUAUCACAUGCUAUAUCAGUUGUUGGAGAUACACAAGCUUUACUUUAUUGUUAACAACUAAAUUGUAAGCAGAGGCAUCUGUGAGCCCCUUUGCGAAAGCAUUGGAACUUUGACUUGCUAAUGUCCCCUAGGACCCGAGUUCUUGUUAUCUGUUCCGAGAUUGAGCGCUCUACCCGUACGUGGGGGAGUGGGACCCCCAUCACCCACUACCUUUCCUCGAGUCUGUUGAUUGGGAGCCACAACCUUGGUUUUAUUUGCCCAUAUGCACGAUGCACGAUUUACUUCCUGUUGCCUUCGGGUGUUUAUUUCUGUACUGUACUCAUAACGCGGAUAGACUUAUCUUGUGCCUGGUCGUAAGUGCCCGCCUGGACUAUGUCGCAAACCUCUGGGUCCGUAUCGGAGUACGGCCGAACUUCAUCACGGGUAGCUUAGUUGGGUGGCUCCCAUUAAACUUUCUCUUGCAUUGGGAACGGUCUUGUUGUGAGACUCCACCUGUAGUAAGUGGGUUCGAGCAUGCGUAUGGUUACAUUUGGGCAACCCCUGCAGGGUGUACAUCUUAUCGAUAAGCCGUGUCCGCGGUUAUGGACGACUUGGAAUUGUAUAGCUUGAUCAUAGAACAACUUACACCUUAUUUCCUGUUGUUAAUAAAUUGCUAAUAACACCCUUUCAAAAGUGUGUGUGCCUUUGCAAUACCUCUUGGCGAAGGGGGAUCGCAUCGGCUGUGUUAUGUUUGCAGAGUAUAGAACUGUUACCUUGUGCGCUCUCUUAUCUUCUCUGAGUAGACGGAUGUUGUAGCGUGUCUCUAUUGGAUAGUAGCUUUGCUGCCGCUAAACUCCACAUAUAGCCGGGUGAAAUUUAUACCGCCCACCAGCGAGCAUAGCUGGUCUUGUCUCGCAAGUACGUGCCAAUGGUACUUACCCUCGCCUUCCUUUCUUUUUGUCUCCUCCCCCUUCUGUCGGCAACCGAUGGCCCGACUUUGACAGGUACGAGAUGAUGACGUUAGCAAGGUUACCCUUCCGGCUUGGCCUGGGCAGGGUUAUGGACGCCACUGGUUAUCUUCAGGACUCUUAGUCCAAUUUGUAUCUUUUCCGUACUCGGACGUAUUAGGUCUUCUGUAUGAUUUGGAUCUUUGUAUGUAUAUUUGUAUCUUGACUCGUUGGAGUCGUUGUUGUAAUAUAUGUAUCUUGUGGGCUCUAUUGUAAA